rnacentral:lncRNA from 1 species
UUUUUUCUUUUGAGUUGGGUGGAGUACGAAAAUAAAGUUUUAAGAACACGUGAGAAGUAUUAAGAGGUUUGACUUUUCAAAGUGAAAUUUGUAACCAAACAGAUAAGAAAAUUAAUGCUGAUAAAUCGGUGAUAACGAGAGUUAUUGGGUUGUGGCGGUGGUGAUUGGUGAAAGAAAAAGUGUUUGCUUUCGUGUCUAGUUGUUUUAUUCAUAUGCCAUUGAUUGUUUCUUCUUUUGUUAC